GACGAACGCUGGCGGCGUGCUUAACACAUGCAAGUCGAACGAAGAGCGAUGGAAGCUUGCUUCUAUCAAUCUUAGUGGCGAACGGGUGAGUAACGCGUAAUCAACCUGCCCUUCAGAGGGGGACAACAGUUGGAAACGACUGCUAAUACCGCAUACGAUCUAAUCUCGGCAUCGAGGAUAGAUGAAAGGUGGCCUCUACAUGUAAGCUAUCACUGAAGGAGGGGAUUGCGUCUGAUUAGCUAGUUGGAGGGGUAACGGCCCACCAAGGCGAUGAUCAGUAGCCGGUCUGAGAGGAUAAACGGCCACAUUGGGACUGAGACACGGCCCAGACUCCUACGGGAGGCAGCAGUGGGGAAUCUUCCGCAAUGGACGAAAGUCUGACGGAGCAACGCCGCGUGAGUGAUGACGGCCUUCGGGUUGUAAAGCUCUGUUAAUCGGGACGAAAGGCCUUCUUGCGAAUAGUGAGAAGGAUUGACGGUACCGGAAUAGAAAGCCACGGCUAACUACGUG
rnacentral:rRNA from 1 species